rnacentral:rRNA from 1 species
CCCUUAGACGUUCUGGGCCGCACGCGCGCUACACUGACGAAGUCAGCGAGCAUGUCCUACGCCGACAGGUGCGGGGAAUCUUGUCAAACUUCGUCGUGAUGGGGAUUGAUUAUUGAAAUUCUUGAUCAUCAACGAGGAAUUCCUAGUAAGCGCAAGUCAGCAGCUUGCGUUGAUUACGUCCCUGCCCUUUGUACACACCGCCCGUCGCUACUACCGAUUGAAUGGUUUAGUGAGAUCUUCGGAUUGGCGCCACUGCGGCUCAGCAAUGGGCUCGGUGGAUGCCGAAAAGUUGAUCAAACUUGAUCAUUUAGAGGAAGUAAAAGUCGUAACA